rnacentral:rRNA from 1 species
UACGUAGGGGGCAAGCGUUGUCCGGAAUCAUUGGGCGUAAAGAGCGUGUAGGCGGCCCGGUAAGUCCGCUGUGAAAGUCGGGGGCUCAACCCUCGAAUGCCGGUGGAUACUGUCGGGCUAGAGUGCGGAAGAGGCGAGUGGAAUCCUGGUGUAGCGGUGAAAUGCGCAGAUAUCAGGAGGAACACCAAUUGCGAAGGCAGCUCGCUGGGACGUAACUGACGCUGAGACGCGAAAGCGUGGGGAGCAAACAGG